rnacentral:rRNA from 1 species
UGGGGCCAUUCUUAUUUGCACGGCUGGGCUGGACCUCUCGGGGUUACAGCCUUGCUGAAUUAUUCACCCUUGUCUUUUGCGUACUUCUUGUUUCCUUGGUGGGUUCGCCCACCACUAGGACAAACAUAAACCUUUUGUAAUUGCAAUCAGCGUCAGUAACAAAUUAAUAAUUACAACUUUCAACAACGGAUCUCUUGGUUCUGGCAUCGAUGAAGAACGCAGCGAAAUGCGAUAAGUAGUGUGAAUUGCAGAAUUCAGUGAAUCAUCGAAUCUUUGAACGCACAUUGCGCCCUUUGGUAUUCCAAAGGGCAUGCCUGUUCGAGCGUCAUUUGUACCCUCAAGCUUUGCUUGGUGUUGGGCGUCUUGUCUCUAGCUUUGCUGGAGACUCGCCUUAAAGUAAUUGGCAGCCGGCCUACUGGUUUCGGAGCGCAGCACAAGUCGCACUCUCUAUCAGCAAAGGUCUAGCAUCCAUUAAGCCUUUUUUUCAACUUUUGACCUCGGAUCAGGUAGGGAUACCCGCUGAACUUAAGCAUAUCAAUAAGCGGAGGAA